GCCUGGGUGGCUCAGUCCGUUGAGCCUCUGACUUCAGCUCAGGUCAUGACCUCACGGUUCAUGGGUUCGAGCCCCUUGUCAGGCU
rnacentral:tRNA from 1 species